CACGUAGGGUGCGAGCGUUGUCCGGAAUUAUUGGGCGUAAAGAGCUCGUAGGCGGUGUGUCACGUCGGCCGUGAAAACUUACAGCUUAACUGUGAGCGUGCGGUCGAUACGGGCAUCACUGGAGUUCGGCAGGGGAGACUGGAAUUCCUGGUGUAGCGGUGAAAUGCGCAGAUAUCAGGAGGAACACCGGUGGCGAAGGCGGGUCUCUGGGCCGAUACUGACGCUGAGGAGCGAAAGCGUGGGGAGCGAACAGG
rnacentral:rRNA from 1 species